AAAAGAAUCAGCAGAAGUUAUAUCAGCAGAGGCCAAGGAGUCUGUCCUCCACAAACUUGGGAAGUUCCCCCCGAGUGAAAUAGCCCAGAGAAUGUAUGAAACGGCUAACUGGAACUUCCUCAUGCAUUGUCCUGGGUCUUAGCUUAGUCUGGCUCUAUACAUAUAAGAAAAUUACUCCUGAAAGAAACUUAAUAUUUUGCUCAAAAGCUGAUAAAUGGUGCUCCUAGGACAUGAACUAGAUCUCUCAGAUUCCAGAAUGCACAUUGUUGUUCUGAAUCAAGACUAAUCAUCUAUAGAUAAAGGAGAAAUAAAGAGA